rnacentral:rRNA from 1 species
CAGCAGCCGCGGUAAUACGGAGGGGGCUAGCGUUGUUCGGAAUUACUGGGCGUAAAGCGCACGUAGGCGGCUUGGUAAGUUAGAGGUGAAAGCCUGGAGCUCAACCCCAGAAUUGCCUUUAAGACUGCCGAGCUAGCAGGUGAGAGAGGUAAGUGGAAUUCCGAGUGUAGAGGUGAAAUUCGUAGAUAUUCGGAAGAACACCAGUGGCGAAGGCGGCUUACUGGCUCAUACUGGACGCUGAGGUGCGAAAGCGUGGGGAGCAAACAGGAUUAGAUACCCGUGUAGUCCCUGUCUCUUAUAC